AUUGAACGCUAGCGGCAUGCCUAACACAUGCAAGUCGAGCGAGCGGCGGACGGGUGAGUAAUGUAUUGGGAUGUGCCUUAUGGCGGGGUAUAACUACUCGAAACGGUCGCUCAUACCGCAUACUAUCAGAUGACCCCAUAUGGGAUUAGCUUGUAGGUAAGGUAACGGCUUACCUAGGCGACGAUCCCUAGCUGGUCUGAGAGGAUGAUCAGCCAAACGGGGACUGAGACACGGCCCAGACUCCUACGGGAGGCAGCAGUGGGGAAUAUUGCACAAUGGGCGAAAGCCUGAUGCAGCCAUGCCGCGUGUAUGAAGAAGGCCUUCGGGUUGUAAAGUACUUUCAGCCGGGAGGCGUUACCGACAGAAGAAGCACCGGCGAACUCCGUGCCAGCAGCCGCGGUAAUAC
rnacentral:rRNA from 1 species